AAACCAGCCCUUUUUAGGGCUACAAAUACUUCAUAUAUACAAUCAG
rfam:Trichomalopsis sarcophagae strain Alberta scaffold7238, whole genome shotgun sequence.